rnacentral:rRNA from 1 species
AUUGAACGCUGGCGGCAGGCCUAACACAUGCAAGUCGAACGAGUGGCGGACGGGUGAGUAAUGUCUGGGAAAGUGCGUGAUGGAGGGGGAUAACUAGUGGAAAAGGUAGAUAAUACCGCAAACUAUCAGAUGGGCCCAGAUGGGAUUAGCUAGUUGGUGGGGUAACGGCUCAUCGAGGCGACGAUCCCUAGCUGGUCUGAGAGGAUGACCAGCCACACUGGAACUGAGACACGGUCCAGACUCCUACGGGAGGCAGCAGUGGGGAAUAUUGCACAAUGGGCGCAAGCCUGAUGCAGCCAUGCCGCGUGUAUGAAGAAGGCCUUCGGGUUGUAAAGUACUUUCAGCGGGGAGGCGUUACCCGCAGAAGAAGCACCGGCUAACUCCGUGCCAGCAGCCGCGGUAAUAC